rnacentral:rRNA from 1 species
AGAGUUUGAUCAUGGCUCAGAUUGAACGCUAGCGGAAUGCCUUACACAUGCAAGUCGAACGGCAGCACGGACUUCGGUCUGGUGGCGAGUGGCGAACGGGUGAGUAAUGCAUCGGAACGUGCCCAGUAGCGGGGGAUAACUACGCGAAAGCGUAGCUAAUACCGCAUACGCCCUACGGGGGAAAGGGGGGGAUCGCAAGACCUCUCACUAUUGGAGCGGCCGAUGUCGGAUUAGCUAGUUGGUGGGGUAAAGGCUCACCAAGGCGACGAUCCGUAGCUGGUUUGAGAGGACGACCAGCCACACUGGGACUGAGACACGGCCCAGACUCCUACGGGAGGCAGCAGUGGGGAAUUUUGGACAAUGGGGGAAACCCUGAUCCAGCCAUUCCGCGUGUGCGAUGAAGGCCUUCGGGUUGUAAAGCACUUUUGGCAGGAAAGAAAUCGGUCGGAUUAAUACUCUGACCGGAUGACGGUACCUGCAGAAUAAGCACCGGCUAACUACGUGCCAGCAGCCGCGGUAAUAC